GGGCCUGUAGCUCAGCCAGGUAGAGUAUCGGGCUUUUAACCCGAGGGUCCCGGGUCCGAAUCCCGGCAGGCCCG
rnacentral:tRNA from 1 species